rnacentral:rRNA from 1 species
AGUGAACGCUGGCGGUAGGCCUAACACAUGCAAGUCGAACGGCAGCACAGUAAGAGCUUGCUCUUCCGGGUUGCCAGUGGCGGACGGGUGACGAAUACAUCGUAAUCUACUUUUUCGUGUGGGUUAACGUAGCUAAACUUACUCUCAUACCGCAUACGCCCUACGGUUGAAAGCAGUGGAUCUUCUCACCUUGCGCGAUUGAAUGAGCCGAUGUUGGAUUGGAUAGUUGGGUGGUUGAAGGCCCACCAGGUCGCCGAUACGUAGCUGGUCUGAGAGGAUGAUCGCCGACACUGGAAGUGAGACACGGUCAAGACUCCUACGGGAGGCAGCAGUGGGGAAUGGUGGACAAUGGGCGGAAGUCUGAUCCAGCCGGACCACGUGGGUGAAGGAGGCCUUGGGGUUGUGAAGACCUUUUGUUGGGAGAAAAAAGCAGCAGGUUAAGACCACGCUGGUGUGACGGUAACGAAAGAAUAAGCACCGGCUAACUUCGUG